CCUUGUCUUAUUCUAAUUCGUCUUCUAGGCACCACUUUCCUCACUGAUAAGAUGAGCGGAUGCAGAUUUACAUCAGAAGAGAUAAGGCCACAGGUGUCAGAGAAACAUUCUCAGAGGCAUAACAUUUAAUUCUCUUGAGCAUUAAAUACCCUUUUAAUACUUUUGUUUACUUAUAAAGGGACAGAAGUAUCUUCCUGACUGAAAUGUCCAUUGUUGCUCCCACAGAUGACAUGGCAAUGCAUAUGACUUCUGCAUUUGGGGAAUACCAGUUCAUACAGGAAACAUGCCUGAUUUUAUUUCCUAUCUCAGCAAGAACAAAGUUAUGGGUGAAGUCUCUGUCACAGAAUGGGGAUCUAUGUGAUAAGGCCAGUCUUCAACCUUUUAUUUCUUCCUUGAACACAAUCUCAAGAUGAAAGUUAUUUUCAUGGUUUUUGUGGAAGAAUUCACCAAAGUUCUCAUUCUACCAUCCUAGAAGUCAAUCUUCACGCAGCCCUUUGUGUUUCAGUACAGCUUGUGGAGACAAUGGACUCACUAGCAUAGAUAAUCUGGGGCAACUGGAUUGGAUGAGCUGAAGAAAGGCCCAUGUGUCCACCAGGAGUGUAGCAAGGAGAAGCCAAUCCAGGUAGCUGAGACUUUAUCCUUUGUUCCUCUGGUAAAUCUCAAAACCCUGGACCCAGUAGAGAUUUUCAACAGUUUAGCAGUAUUAGUUUAGUUUGAGUAGUAAAAGAGGGCACAUCAACAGCUGGUUCUAUUGGAACUCUGAGAAAUAUCCCCUUUUUCUAUCAAAGAUAGCAAUUGUAACUGUGACUAUGGCUUCUGACUCAAGUGACUAUCUCAUUUCUCAGCUUUUCUUUCCUUGGAGCUUUGAAAUAUCACUCAGCUCAUAGACAGUAGCAGCCUAAAUGAAAAGUGAGUGUUAAAUCCACAAAGGAUAACUUAUACCAAUGAAGGAUAGGAGUCAGUGCAUAAAUGCCCAUCUCCUCUCCUUCAGAGGGGGCAUCUGUGAACCUGUUUUAGGAGAUGAAAGCUUUAAAGAACCUUAUCUGACAGUAUAUGUAACUGAGGAGAGGCCAUGAACUCCUGAGUACUGCCCCAUGUGAGGAUAAUAGACUGAAUAGCCAGUGGGAACUAUGAUUAUGGCUGGACAAGGAGGCAGAUAGAUAAUAAUAUAGGGAUUAGGGGUAGGGCAACAAUGGUCUAGUGGUAGUCCAUACUCUACAUAGUACUUCACUUUCUAAAAGUUUCUACCCAUUAAUAGGUAAACAUUAAAGAUUUCAGCUUUUGAAGGAAAGAAAGAUAAUGGGACUUGGCAAAAAAAUAUAUAUAUAUAGUAGACCUGGGGAAAAAUUGUGAGAAUUCACUGGUAGAAUUAUGUUCAUUUUAGGGAGAUUUUUCAGAUGCUUUUAGAUUCUGAGUAACAGCUGCUUAAAGUCACCACCUGAAAGUACGAGUUUUGGGUGGCAAAUAGCUGAGCACAACUGAAACUGUACCUUUCUGAUCUAAAUAGGUUACAUAUCUGCCAUUUUGCAAAAUACUGCAUUCAUUUUGUGUGUAGAGAUUAAGUCAAUGAUAUUACACACAAGAGGAAGCUUGUUAUUUCUGUAUGCAAAUGAACAUUAAGGUAGCAGUUAGAAAAUAGAAACAGAUAAGUAAAUUCAGACCUACUCAAUCUCAAAACAGGAUGCACUUUGUCUUAAAAGGCAAUUGCAGGAGGCACUGAGCAACAUUUAACCAUGGUGAAUUGACUUAUGGCUAAUAGGGUACUCAUUAUACCAUGGUCGAUUGUAAUAAGCUUUCCUGGCACUUGAAAUUUUUUUCUUCUUCAAGACUAGAUUGAUCAGUGGUCCUCUACUGCUCUUAACACUGAAGUUUCUCAGGGAGUGAGAGCUCUGGUUGCCCAGAUAACCACCCUUUAUUUAUGUCCUUUCAUGCACAGCAGGUAUUGGUUUCAUUUCUUUACCAUACUUGAACCUCCAAAAUUUAGACAAUAUUUCCACAUGGUUUUACAUCAUUAUGAUACAUUUACCAGUAGUGAGAAGAAAAACUUCUUUAAGGUAACUUUAAACAUUUUUAUCAAAUGGACCACACUGCCUUAAAAAAUAACUUUUGCAGUUUCUGUACACCAAUAAUGUAGUAGUGGAAAGGGAAAAUAAGGAAUCAAUCUCAUUUAUAAUUGCACCAAAAACCAUGAAAUACCUAGGAAUAAACCUAACCAGAGAUGUAAAAAAACUACUCUG
rnacentral:lncRNA from 1 species